AUGAGUGGUGUUUGGUUUGUUACGGGUGGUUGGCUGUCUGCUCGCGCAGCAACGUCCACGCGUGCUUACCUCUUCAUUUUAGCGACAAGGCUUGUUUUGCCUUGAGCAGCUUGUGGGUUUCCUGUGUUGCAUACCUAAUCGACGGUAACGUGUGGCUUUAUGGACGUCCUUUUUCGUCAUGCGUCGCUCAUGCGGCGUGGGAUGAACCUUGAAGCAGGCUUUGUGGUCCACCUUGUUGGUGCUUUUGCAUCGACGACGUGGCCCUUGAAGCAUCGCUUGGUCUCAUGUAUACGGAACCUGAUGUGGGCAUGGGUCUUUCGGGAUCCUGCAUUUGCCCUAUUUAAGCGUUCUCGCUUCUCCGAAACGAUCGUCCGUCACGUCUUGGCUUGUCCUUGCGUGGCGGGCUGCGUCGAAGAGGAAUGCUACCUGGUUGAUCCUGCCAGUAGUCAUAUGCUUGUCUCAAAGAUUAAGCCAUG
rnacentral:misc_RNA from 1 species